UAGAGAAUCCACAUGUCCUCAGUGUUAUUAUAUCUUGAUUAUUGAAUUUUUUUUAUUAUUCUUGUGUGUCGUCCAGGUAAUUUCCUCAGUUUUCCACACUUUGGACAUCAUCCCCCUUGUUUUGUUUAUUGGUUCCACUCAGACCGCACCACAGACAACAGCAGCCUCACAGAACACCACCGCAAGGCUCUGACUGACUCAGUAUGUGGGAACCAGGAAGUGAAAACGGAGCAGAGAAUUACACCAGCAACCGCUUGAAGUAGGUCAUGAAACCCAUGAAAGUACUGUAGUACGUUCAUUUAAUCUCCACGUUUUGCACUUCAUACCUGAGAAAAAAAAAUAAAAACUGUCAUUUAGAUUAUUGUGCAUCUGUCAUCUCCCUUUUUGACCACUUUCAAGACAAUUUUGCAAAAAAAAAAAACUUUAGAUUUUUCUUUGGAACUUUUUAGAGAUUUAGAUUAAAAUUGAAUUUUUAAAAGUUCCUAAGGAUCUCCUAAAAGUUUAGCAGUAACUUUUGUUUUUAAAACCCUUGAAGACAAUCUACUUCUCAACUCCAUACUCUUGUUUCUAGCUUUAAAUAAAAAAUAAAUAAAUAAAAAAAAA